GCGUCUGUGGUGUAACGGUUAUCAUUAUUGCCUGUAAGUUGUCAAUUCCGACAUACGAAUCACCACAUCUAAAACAUCGAUUCUAACAUUCUAUCUUCUAGUCCAAGCAAUAGACCCGGGUUCGACUCCCGGCGGACGCA
rnacentral:tRNA from 1 species